CGAGUGGCGAACGGGUGAGUAAUGUAUCGGAACGUGCCCAGUCGUGGGGGAUAACGUAGUGAAAAUUACGCUAAUACCGCAUACGAUCUAUGGAUGAAAGCGGGGGAUCGCAAGACCUCGCGCGAUUGGAGCGGCCGAUAUCAGAUUAGGUAGUUGGUGGGGUAAAGGCCCACCAAGCCAACGAUCUGUAGCUGGUCUGAGAGGACGACCAGCCACACUGGAACUGAGACACGGUCCAGACUCCUACGGGAGGCAGCAGUGGGGAAUUUUGGACAAUGGGCGCAAGCCUGAUCCAGCCAUUCCGCGUGCAGGAUGAAGGCCCUCGGGUUGUAAACUGCUUUUGUACAGAACGAAAAGGUUUCUACGAAUACUAGGAGCUCAUGACGGUACUGUAAGAAUAAGCACCGGCUAACUACGUGCCAGCAGCCGCGGUAAUACGUAGGGUGCAAGCGUUAAUCGGAAUUACUGGGCGUAAAGCGUGCGCAGGCGGUUAUAUAAGUCAGAUGUGAAAUCCCCGGGCUCAACCUGGGAACUGCAUUUGAGACUGUAUAGCUAGAGUACGGCAGAGGGGGAUGGAAUUCCGCGUGUAGCAGUGAAAUGCGUAGAUAUGCGGAGGAACACCGAUGGCGAAGGCAAUCCCCUGGGCCUGUACUGACGCUCAUGCACGAAAGCGUGGGGAGCAAACAGGAUUAGAUACCCUGGUAGUCCACGCCCUAAACGAUGUCAACUGGUUGUUGGGUCUUAACUGACUCAGUAACGAAGCUAACGCGUGAAGUUGACCGCCUGGGGAGUACGGCCGCAAGGUUGAAACUCAAGGAAUUGACGGGGACCCGCACAAGCGGUGGAUGAUGUGGUUUAAUUCGAUGCAACGCGAAAACCUUACUCACCUUUGACAUGUACGGAG
rnacentral:rRNA from 1 species